rnacentral:rRNA from 1 species
AGACACGGCCCAAACUCCUACGGGAGGCAGCAGUAGGGAAUCUUCGGCAAUGGACGAAAGUCUGACCGAGCAACGCCGCGUGAGUGAAGAAGGUUUUCGGAUCGUAAAACUCUGUUGUUAGAGAAGAACAAGGAUGAGAGUAACUGUUCAUCCCUUGACGGUAUCUAACCAGAAAGCCACGGCUAACUACGUGCCAGCAGCCGCGGUAAUACGUAGGUGGCAAGCGUUGUCCGGAUUUAUUGGGCGUAAAGCGAGCGCAGGCGGUUUCUUAAGUCUGAUGUGAAAGCCCCCGGCUCAACCGGGGAGGGUCAUUGGAAACUGGGAGACUUGAGUGCAGAAGAGGAGAGUGGAAUUCCAUGUGUAGCGGUGAAAUGCGUAGAUAUAUGGAGGAACACCAGUGGCGAAGGCGGCUCUCUGGUCUGUAACUGACGCUGAGGCUCGAAAGCGUGGGGAGCAAACAGGAUUAGAUACCCUGGUAGUCCACGCCG